UCAAAAGCAAAACAAAAGCAAACACAUGAGGCCAAAGUACGCCCUCCGUGGAAAGGAGCCGUGCAUGUGGAUUAAAGGACUGAGUUGGUUAACAGGAAGAAAAUGACAUGGAUUUUUUAGAACAGUCAGAAGAGAAAAUUUGUCAUGCAGUACAAGGGAGUGGAUUUCCUGAGGAACUCGUGAAGUCCCAUCUCCUUCCCUCCUCACGCGACAGAAUCUUGCCAACUGGAGUGGAGGGAAGUCAGACAGACAGCGUUUCAAGUGCCUUAUCCACUCCUCAUAUGCUCUCUUUGAAGUUUUUCUUUCACUCAUCAGUGGUAGGAUAUAAAACGUGGAGAGCAAGGGCUAUGUGUGGAUACAGUGAGAAGGCGGCCAUCUAUCUCCAAGCCAUGAAGAGAGGCCUCACCAGAAACUAAACCUACUGGCACCUUGAUCUUGG